CUCCCCCCGGCGGGCGCGCGGCUGGGGAGGAGGCGGUGCCUGUGUCCGCGCUAGAGGUUGUGUCGUUCCUUGGCAAGCUGCUCUGCGCAGUCGCGGCGCUGAAGGCGGCUCUGUACCUCCUCCGCCGAGUGUGUCUAGCGAUGGCCUGGAAGUCGGGAGGCUCCAGCCACUCCGAGCUCAUCCACAACCUGCGCAAAAAUGGAAUAAUCAAAUCAGAUAAAGUAUAUGAAGUAAUGCUGGCUACAGACCGUUGCCACUAUGCAAAAUGCAACCCUUAUAUGGACUCUCCUCAAUCAAUAGGUUUCCAAGCAACUAUCAGUGCCCCACACAUGCAUGCGUAUGCUCUAGAACUGCUAUCUGAACAGUUACAUGAAGGAGCCAAAGCCCUUGAUGUAGGAUCGGGAAGUGGAAUUCUUACAGCAUGUUUUUCACGGAUGGUUGGUCUCCAAGGACGAGUUGUAGGAAUUGAUCAUAUCAAAGAGUUAGUAGAUGACUCAAUAAAUAAUGUCAAAAAGGAUGAUUCUACAUUACUGUCUUCAGGAAGAGUGAAACUGAUUGUGGGGGAUGGAAGAAUGGGAUAUCCAGAAGAAGCUCCCUAUGAUGCUAUUCAUGUCGGAGCUGCAGCCCCGGUUGUGCCCCAAGCACUCAUAGACCAAUUAAAACCUGGUGGAAGAUUGAUAUUACCAGUCGGCCCUGCAGGUGGAAACCAGAUGCUGGAACAAUAUGAUAAACUAGAAGAUGGCAGUGUCAAAAUGAAGCCUUUGAUGGGAGUGAUAUAUGUGCCUUUAACAGAUAAAGAGAAGCAAUGGUCCAGGUGGAAGUGAUUUUCUGUUCCACUUUCUUCUUCCACAGAUACACGCAUACAAGCCUUUUGUACAGGUACCGAGAAUAAUUGGACCAUAAUUUCAAACAAGUCUCUCUCCAGUAAAUGGCCCAAUGUGUAAGACAGUCACUUCUUCAGACAACAGGGAUGAAUUGUAAAAGCUACAUCAUCUUGACCCAAACAUAGUGUUACAGUGGACUUCCCAUCUACAGUUCUAAAAGCUUUUUGAAAACCAACAGCAUUGCAGCUUGUUUUGGAUUUUGUUAUACUGUUAUCAGCAUGGAAAAGUGUGGUGUUUUUAUUUCAUUUUUUUUUUAGAGGCUUAAGGAAAAUUUGGCAAAGAAUUGAUGGAAAGUUUAAAUUUGGGCUGUUUUGUUUUUAACAUGCCUUUUUAAAUUUCAUCUUGUUAAAGAAAUGAAUUUCUGCAAAAAUGCGAAGACCUACAGUUUGUGAACUCUUUAAUUUUGAUGGCUGAUACUUUUUGAACACUUUAUUUCAGCUCCAUUGUUCCUUGGUAAAAUUGCUUCUGUGCACCUUAUAACACUACAUACACAAUGGCAGGUUCUCUAUGUUCAGAUGUCUGCUAAAUGUUACUAAGAAAAUGAGAUGAACUUCCUUUUUAAAGCUUGUGACACGGUGUCAUAGACUAGCAUGUAGUAAAUACAAUCAGCUGCGUUAUUAUCUUAAAAGUGGGCAUUUGUAUAUAUUAAACUUCAAGACAUCAGAGGUGACAGCUCUUGUUAUAAACUCUAUGGUUCAGGUUGGACAUAACUGACAUAGUUUUUUCCUUCCUUGUCAAGAAAUUUAGAGGAAACUUGUAGCUCAGUAUUGUUUUGUAGCUCACUGCUGAUAUGUAUAUGAAUUUAGCAUAACAAAUACUGUGUAAGCUAUGUCCUAAUCACUGAACAGUUUAUGCAGUGCUGCUUUGCCAAAUAAAGUUAAAAGCAAAAA